GACGAACGCUGGCGGCGUGCUUAACACAUGCAAGUCGAACGGAAAGGCCCUGCUUUUGUGGGGUGCCCGAGUGGCGAACGGGUGAGUAACACGUGAGUAACCUGCCCUUGACUUUGGGAUAACUUCAGGAAACUGGGGCUAAUAUCGGAUAGGAGCUCCUGCUGCAUGGAGGGGGUUGGAUCGUUUCGGCGUUCGGGGAUGGACUCGCGGCUUUCUAGCUUGUUGGUGGGGUAGUGGCUUACCAAGGCGAUGACGGGUAGCCGGCGGGAGAGGGGGAUCGGCGACACUGGAAGUGAGACACGGACCAUAGGCCUAAGGGAGGGAGCAGUCGGCAAUAGUGGGCAAUGGGGGGAAGUAUUACACAGCGAGCCGGAGCGUGAUACGAAGGCGCUGGGUGCGGAAAGACGGCUUGCGGGUUAAGAACAGCUUUCGCCUGAGACGACGCGUGAGUGACGGUAACCAAUAAAGAAGCACCGGCUAACUACGUG
rnacentral:rRNA from 1 species